UACGUAGGGGGGCUAGCGUUGUCCGGAAUCAUUGGGCGUAAAGAGCGUGUAGGCGGUCCGGUAAGUCCGCUGUGAAAGUCGGGGGGCUCAACCCUCGAAUGCCGGUGGAUACUGUCGGGCUAGAGUGCGGAAGAGGCGAGUGGAAUUCCUGGUGUAGCGGUGAAAUGCGCAGAUAUCAGGAGGAACACCAAUAGCGAAGGCAGCUCGCUGGGACGGUACUGACACUGAGGCGCGAAAGCGUGGGGGAGCGAACAGG
rnacentral:rRNA from 1 species